AUUGAACGCUGGCGGAAUGCUUUACACAAGCAAGUCGAACGGCAGCACGGGUGCUUGCACCUGGUGGCGAGUGGCGAACGGGUGAGUAAUACAUCGGAACGUACCCAGUCGUGGGGGAUAACGUAGCGAAAGUUACGCUAAUACCGCAUACGUCCUGAGGGAGAAAGCGGGGGACCGUAAGGCCUCGCGCGAUUGGAGCGGCCGAUGUCUGAUUAGCUAGUUGGUGAGGUAAAGGCUCACCAAGGCGACGAUCAGUAGCUGGUCUGAGAGGAUGAUCAGCCACACUGGAACUGAGACACGGUCCAGACUCCUACGGGAGGCAGCAGUGGGGAAUUUUGGACAAUGGGCGAAAGCCUGAUCCAGCCAUUCCGCGUGAGUGAAGAAGGCCUUCGGGUUGUAAAGCUCUUUCGGCAGGAACGAAACGCUCUAGAUUAAUACUCUGGGGUAAUGACGGUACCUGAAGAAGAAGCACCGGCUAACUACGUGCCAGCAGCCGCAGUAA
rnacentral:rRNA from 1 species